ACCAUCCUUUUCUUGGAGUUGGCACUAUUGUCUAGGGAGCAUAUAGUGAGGGCAGUACUGCUAACACCUAUGCAAUGCAUGGCAUCUAUUAGAACUCUGCUUUACCUUGGAGUUUUCAGAAAA
ensembl:snRNA